UCCUUUUUUUUUUUGCUUCCCCUUCUUCUUGCUCUAUUUCGGAGUCAUGCUAAUUUUUUUUUAUCGCAGACAUGGAUGCAAGCGUGGCUCAGAGGUUAGCCCAGGGUCUCAAGACCCACAAGAGAAAAGAUGCUUCAACUUCAGGGCCGAUGAAGAAAGUCAGGACAGAAGGGACAAGCUCGGCCGCACCUGCUCUGAUGUCUGUCACC
rnacentral:lncRNA from 1 species